AAUGAACGUUGGCGGCGUGGAUUAGGCAUGCAAGUCGUACGGUAAGCUUCGGCUUAUAGUGGCGAAAGGGAGAGUAACGAGUGGUUACAUGCCCUCGGGACCGGGAUAGCGGCGGGAAACUGGCGGUAAUACCGGAUAAUAUCUUUGGGUCAAAGGUGUGAUUCAGCCCGAGGAUUGGACCGCGUUCUAUUAGCUUGUUGGCGGGGUAAUGGCCCACCAAGGCGACGAUGGAUACCGGGUGUGAGAGCAUGGCCCGGCUCACUGGGAAUGAGACACUGCCCAGACACCUACGGGUGGCUGCAGUCGAGAAUCUUCGGCAAUGGGGGCAACCCUGACCGAGCGACGCCGCGUGCGGGACGAAGGCCUUCGGGUUGUAAACCGCUGUCAGUUGGGAGGAAGUGCCGGGGGGUUCUCCCCUCGGUUUGACCGAUCUUCAGAGGAAGGACGGGCUAAGUUCGUGCCAGCAGCCGCCGUAACAC
rnacentral:rRNA from 1 species